CAUUCAACAGCAUGUAUGUCAGCCAUAACGUUAAUAACAAACUACACGCUGUGUUGUCAAGCAUCCAGGAUGUCACUCUGAUCACCUCAGAAGCAUGUGGUCAGACAUUGACUGUAAUGAUGGACAUCUGCUGAGUGACAGAAUUAAUGUUGAACAGUUUAUAGUGUGAUUUCUGGAGCAACACGAGAUCCAUUUCCCCAUUCUCUGUUUAUUCUGCCACUGCUGUCUGCCUCUCUCGACCCAUCCCUCAUCUCAGUGCUGCCUUCCUCACUUAUGUCAGUUUUAUCGUGCCAGGUGUGUUCACCAUUCUCAUUUGUGUUACCGCCCCAGGUGAACUUGUGCUCUGGUCCGUGUUUCACUUCAUGUUCCAGUCCGUGUUUCACAUUGUGCUCAGUUCCCCUUGAGCUUCAGGUACUUGUCUUCAUGUUUGCCUUACCGCCCCAGGUAGGUUCUUAGGUGGGAUUCGAACCCAUGUUUCGACCGUCACCUUGUCCGCAACCAACGGUGUUUAGCCACUAGUGCCAUCGUAGCUUACACGCUGAGAGAUGGAGUUUGGCGCAUGUUAUUGGGUUUUUUUAAUGACAGCAAUAAGCAAUAGUGGGAUUCGAACCCAAGACUCCAAGAGGAAAGGCUAAUGCUUUACCAACUGAGCCACUGACUCAGUUCAGAGUCCUGGGUUUUCCUGGAAUAUAAAGAGUGUUUUCUGACAAAUUCAGAUAAAGAUGUAAUGUUUGGGAUUUGAACCCACAUCUUUACUGCAUCAGACUCAUCAGUCUAUGUUUUUAACCACUACACCACUGUGGCUUGUUUUCUGUUGUGUGUUUUGUAUGCUAUGUAUUGAUAUUUAUUCUAGUACUGGUGAAAAUUUUCGCUCACUUUGACAUAAGCAGGGUUUGAACCCAGAACUCCCGCAUUAAAACACAGCACUUUAAUCAUUUGAGCCACUUAGCCAGAUGAGUAGAGAAGUGUUUUUGACAGGGUCAUAUUGAGAUCUUUUGCUGUUUAUUGAUAAAAGAAAACAUUUUCACUGAUUCCGGUAUAAGCUGGAUUCAAACCCACAACCUCAAAGUUAAACUGUAAAGUUUUACCUGCUGAGCCACAGAGUCUGAGAACACACAUCAUGUUUUAAUUCAGUAAAUUGAUAUAAAGCACUCAAUUUAGACAUUAAGAUCAGCAACAGCAGGAUUUGAACCCAGGUCUCUCAGAUUAAAGCACAGGGGUUUAGUCAAUUGAGCUACUGAAACCAAAAAGUGUUAUUGUGCUUUGAAGUAUUUGUGUGUAGUGAUGAUUCUGUCCAAAAAUAUGAUAAAAUUGUGCAAUAAAAGACAAUCUACAGCUAUUAUGCUCUCCUCAGACUCUGUGGCUCAGCUUAUUAAAGUGUCGUGUUUUAAUCUUGGAGACCCGGGUUCAAACCUCGCUCUUGGUGACCUUCAUUUGUAAUUGUGUGUUUCUAAUUAAAUCAACAGGAUUCUCAAAUUGAAAUCAACAGUCAUUGAAUUUGACCUCAGGACUCAGAUUAAAACAGUUUGUUUGAUCAGCCGAGCCGCUGAGUCUGAGAAACUUUAUUUGUGUUUUGGAUGGGAUUUUGCUCAUUGAAUAUUUAAUAUUAUUUCAGUUUUUAAACAAUGCACUAGAAUUAACACAAGCUUUGUGUGGUUUCAAUUUAGUUAACGAGCAAAUUAACUAACGAAGCACAUGAUUGUUUAGCAGUUUUACUGAGGGAUUUGUAUUUAAUCAAACAACUUUUCCACUCAAAUGAUUUAAAUCCAUGACUUUCCUCCUGUAAAUCAGUUUAAGGCCACUAGUGCCUUUAUGAAUUUAUCUUGGGUAAAUCAUCAUUUGAUUGUUUUAAUGUAAACAGUAGUGAAAUAUGAGCUCACAACACUUUAUCACCUGAGCUUGUGCUGCUGUGAACAUGUGCUUUGGACAGUUGUGUUUAGAGGUUUUCUUCAUAUGAUAUAAAAUAUCAGCAGUGGGAUCAAUACUGUCUCACAUAAACUUCUUAUUUUUAAUUAAAAAUGUCAGCAUUCAUGAAACAUAUUUCUGUUUAAAAUGUGCAAACAAUCACAAAAAUAGUCACCAAAAACUUGAUUCAUUUCAGCCUGUAAUUGACUGAAAAUAAAUAACUUUUACAUCAAUUUUUAAUCUUAAUUUCUGCUGGAAUAAAAGAAAAGAGUUGAGUCAGGAGAUUUCUAUCAGUGCUGAUGAGCUUGAUUAGCAGCUUCAGGUGUUUUUAAUGAGGCUUAAACUGCUCUACAGCUGCAGGAUUACACACUCUUCAUUUCCUGUCCUCUUGCUGUUUUCAUGCAGAUGCACAAAUCCUCCACAAGUGGGCACAACAUUGACACAUUGAUCAGGCUUUCUUCAUUAAAUCUUUAUUAAAUGUGA